rnacentral:rRNA from 1 species
ACGCUCGACACCUACGGGAGACAGCAGUCGGGAAUAUUGCGCAAUGGAGGAAACUCUGACGCAGUGACGCCGCGUAUGGGAAGAAGGUUUUCGGAUUGUAAACCAUUUUAGACAAGGAAGAAACAAGACAGUACUUGUAGAAUAAGCUCCGGCUAACUACGUGCUAGCAGCCGCGGUAAUCUGAGCGGGCUGGCAAGGC